AGUGAACGCUGGCGGUAGGCCUAACACAUGCAAGUCGAACGGCAGCACAGUAAUAGCUUGCUCUGACGGGUGGCGAGUGGCGGACGGGUGAGGAAUACAUCGGAAUCUACUUUUUCGUGGGGGAUAACGUAGGGAAACUUACGCUAAUACCGCAUACGACCUACGGGUGAAAGCAGGGGAUCUUCGGACCUUGCGCGAUUGAAUGAGCCGAUGUCGGAUUAGCUAGUUGGCGGGUUAAAGGCCCACCAAGGCGACGAUCCGUAGCUGGUCUGAGAGGAUGAUCAGCCACACUGGAACUGAGCCACGGUCCAGACUCCUACGGGAGGCAGCAGUGGGGAAUAUUGGACAAUGGGCGCAAGCCUGAUCCAGCCAUACCGCGUGGGUGAAGAAGGCCUUCGGGUUGUAAAGCCCUUUUGUUGGGAAAGAAAAGCAGCAGGUUAAUACCCCGCUGUUCUGACGGUACCCAAAGAAUAAGCACCGGCUAACUUCGUG
rnacentral:rRNA from 1 species